rnacentral:rRNA from 1 species
CGGCGGACGGGUGAGUAAUGCCUAGGGAAUCUGCCUGGUAGUGGGGGACAACGUUUCGAAAGGAACGCUAAUACCGCAUACGUCCUACGGGAGAAAGCAGGGACCUUCGGGCCUUGCGCUAUCAGAUGAGCCUAGGUCGGAUUAGCUAGUUGGUGAGGUAAUGGCUCACCAAGGCGACGAUCCGUAACUGGUCUGAGAGGAUGAUCAGUCACACUGGAACUGAGACACGGUCCAGACUCCUACGGGAGGCAGCAGAA